rnacentral:tRNA from 1 species
GCGGAUUUAGUGUAAUGGUAGCACAUCGCCUUUCCAAGGCGAGGGAGUUGUUCGAUUCAGCAAUCCUGCU